rnacentral:rRNA from 1 species
CCUUUUGUAUAAUGGGUCAGCGACUUAUAUUCUGUAGCAAGGUUAACCGUAUAGGGGAGCCGGAGGGAAACCGAGUCUUAACCGGGCGUUAAGUUGCAGGGUAUAGACCCGAAACCCGGUGAUCUAGCCAUGGGCAGGUUGAAGGUUGGGUAACACUAACUGGAGGACCGAACCGACUAAUGUUGAAAAAUUAGCGGAUGACCUGUGGCUGGGGGUGAAAGGCCAAUCAAACCGGGAGAUAGCUGGUUCUCCCCGAAAGCUAUUUAGGUAGCGCCUCGUGAAUUCAUCUCCGGGGGUAGAGCACUGUUUCGGCUAGGGGGCCAUCCCGGCUUACCAACCCGAUGCAAACUGCGAAUACCGGAGAAUGUUAUCACGGGAGACACACGGCGGGUGCUAACGUCCGUCGUGAAGAGGGAAACAACCCAGACCGCCAGCUAAGGUCCCAAAGUCAUGGUUAAGUGGGAAACGAUGUGGGAAGGCCCAGACAGCCAGGAUGUUGGCUUAGAAGCAGCCAUCAUUUAAAGAAAGCGUAAUAGCUCACUGGUCGAGUCGGCCUGCGCGGAAGAUGUAACGGGGCUAAACCAUGCACCGAAGCUGCGGCAGCGAACGUAUCACCCAAGACAACUUUACGGAGUUGACGAUUGACGGAGCGAAGCGACGUCAAAGCGUUCAUUAAAGUCGAGUUGGCUUAGGGAUACGUUCGUUGGGUAGGGGAGCGUUCUGUAAGCCUGUGAAGGUGUGUCGUGAGGCAUGCUGGAGGUAUCAGAAGUGCGAAUGCUGACAUAAGUAACGAUAAAGCGGGUGAAAAGCCCGCUCGCCGGAAGACCAAGGGUUCCUGUCCAACGUUAAUCGGGGCAGGGUGAGUCGACCCCUAAGGCGAGGCCGAAAGGCGUAGUCGAUGGGAAACGGGUUAAUAUUCCCGUACUUGGUGUUACUGCGAAGGGGGGACGGAGAAGGCUAUGUUGGCCGGGCGACGGUUGUCCCGGUUUAAGCGUGUAGGUGUGUGUUCCAGGUAAAUCCGGUUCACUUUAACACUGAGGCGUGACGACGAGGCACUACGGUGCUGAAGCAACAAAUGCCCUGCUUCCAGGAAAAGCCUCUAAGCAUCAGGUAACACGAAAUCGUACCCCAAACCGACACAGGUGGUCAGGUAGAGAAUACCAAGGCGCUUGAGAGAACUCGGGUGAAGGAACUAGGCAAAAUGGUGCCGUAACUUCGGGAGAAGGCACGCUGACACGUAGGUGAAGUGAUUUACUCAUGGAGCUGAAGUCAGUCGAAGAUACCAGCUGGCUGCAACUGUUUAUUAAAAACACAGCACUGUGCAAACACGAAAGUGGACGUAUACGGUGUGACGCCUGCCCGGUGCCGGAAGGUUAAUUGAUGGGGUCAGCGCAAGCGAAGCUCCUGAUCGAAGCCCCGGUAAACGGCGGCCGUAACUAUAACGGUCCUAAGGUAGCGAAAUUCCUUGUCGGGUAAGUUCCGACCUGCACGAAUGGCGUAAUGAUGGCCAGGCUGUCUCCACCCGAGACUCAGUGAAAUUGAACUCGCUGUGAAGAUGCAGUGUACCCGCGGCAAGACGGAAAGACCCCGUGAACCUUUACUAUAGCUUGACACUGAACAUUGAGCCUUGAUGUGUAGGAUAGGUGGGAGGCUUUGAAGUGUGGACGCCAGUCUGCAUGGAGCCGACCUUGAAAUACCACCCUUUAAUGUUUGAUGUUCUAACGUGGACCCGUAAUCCGGGUUGCGGACAGUGUCUGGUGGGUAGUUUGACUGGGGCGGUCUCCUCCUAAAGAGUAACGGAGGAGCACGAAGGUUGGCUAAUCCUGGUCGGACAUCAGGAGGUUAGUGCAAUGGCAUAAGCCAGCUUGACUGCGAGCGUGACGGCGCGAGCAGGUGCGAAAGCAGGUCAUAGUGAUCCGGUGGUUCUGAAUGGAAGGGCCAUCGCUCAACGGAUAAAAGGUACUCCGGGGAUAACAGGCUGAUACCGCCCAAGAGUUCAUAUCGACGGCGGUGUUUGGCACCUCGAUGUCGGCUCAUCACAUCCUGGGGCUGAAGUAGGUCCCAAGGGUAUGGCUGUUCGCCAUUUAAAGUGGUACGCGAGCUGGGUUUAGAACGUCGUGAGACAGUUCGGUCCCUAUCUGCCGUGGGCGCUGGAGAACUGAGGGGGGCUGCUCCUAGUACGAGAGGACCGGAGUGGACGCAUCACUGGUGUUCGGGUUGUCAUGCCAAUGGCACUGCCCGGUAGCUAAAUGCGGAAGAGAUAAGUGCUGAAAGCAUCUAAGCACGAAACUUGCCCCGAGAUGAGUUCUCCCUGAGACUUAG